UCGUACUUGAAACGAACUUUUUCUCCCGGUUUUGGAAUUAAAAUCUCCAAUCUGCCUCGUUCUUUUUUGGCUUUCUGUACAUUAACUAUUCCUCUAGUUGAUGUAACAAUUUGGAAUCUCAUUAAAAAUACCUAGUUCAAUUCGGUGUCUAAUAUUUAUACAUCCUAAUGUGAUACAUAUAAUUUUUACUGAAUAAAGAAGACGAAUUCUUACUCUUCAGUUAUCUAGAAAUAACUUAGUUUGUUCUAUAUCGCAAUUCGGAAAUGGAAGUUUGAAUAGCUUCAUGUGAAGGAAUUGCAAUUGUCUUCGAAUCAAAAUGAAUGAAUUAAAGGCAGUAAUCGGUUAGAAUAAGGCUAGGAAAAACCUUUCAGAAAUAGAAUUGAAUUAAGCUACUAAGCAUUUGAGAUAAAAAAAAAUCGUACUAAAUUAAGCUAUUUUGAACUUACUUGAAAUUAUUCAGAUAAAUUUCGUAUUGCAUUUUAUACUUAAGUAUAUAAAAAAAUUAUCUUCAUAACACUUAAAAAUAUGAAAUGAGUUAAGGCAAAGAUGUUUUUUCUGAAAUCAAAUUUGUUUAUUGUAAAGAAAAACAAAAGAGGAAUAAUCUCUGUAGUCCAUUCCCUUUUAAAAUUUAAAAAUUACUAACAGUUGCCCGCUCAAAUGUUUUUAUCUAUUGGAAACUUUCUAAAAUGCAUUAAAAUCUGCACAUUUAAUGUGGAAGAAAUAUUCAUAAUCUUUGAAUAUUCCACUCGAGUAGUUUCUAAGCGACGAAAAUGCUAUAAUCAUGUGGAUUUUACAUGGUACAGUCUAAUAUGACAGAGGAAACAGUGGCAGUUGCUCUCUUGUGCCCUCUUCUAUAAAUGAACAGAAUGUUUAAUGCAAAUUUGACAAGUCUUUUGUGUAAGACUAUCCAGUGGGAAACGUUUAAAUCAAAUAUCUGUAAUACUAGAAAGUUUCUGUUGAAUUCACUGGCCUUUUCACUCAUCAGUGAAAUACGUCAUAGAAGUCAUCAAUUUAACAAAAUCGCCUGCCGUUGUUGGAGCUGUUCACUGCAAAGAACACUUUUUAUGCUGUUCGCUUGAAACAGUGGCCAACUCCUGUAAGCAAAGCGACCGCCUUUUCUCUUGACGAAAAUAUGGAUGGCAGCUAUCUGGAUGGCCACGAAAUUUUUUCUUUCGUACAGAAGUAAUAUCGGCAUUGACAGACAGUACAACAUGGCCUAUAUCCAUGUCAUUUUGCUUGAUAAAGGCACUACGUCAACCACCAGUAGUGUUGCUUUCUGUUCCAUGCACUUGAUUGUCCACCCCAAAUAUGCUGGAUGCGAGGAAGUAUUCCUUACAGGUGAUGUUGAAGGUGAUGAGACAAUUCAAGGGCGCAGUAAGUUCGCUAUUUAUAUUAACAAAACGGCAUGGAAUUUGAAAACCAUUAAUUGGUUCAUCUAGAAAUUAAAUUACUGGAGGCUGCAAAGAGAUGCGAAACAUAAUUAUCUUAAAAUAUUUAUUGAAACAGAUGCAGCCCUAUUGGCUACUAACCAUAAUGAAUUACCGGAAUUCAAACGCCUGUCAUACGCGUUUCUGAGUAUAGGAUUCAAAGUAAUUGAACGUCUUAGAAUGGAAUCACCCAGUGACCCUCGUUAUGAGGGAAAUACUCCAUGGCCAGGAACCGUUUGAAACUAGAUUCCAGCAUCUACGCAGGACAAAAAUGCUUCUAGGUAAUUCUGUUGUCUCUGCAUGGCUUGUGGUAAACUUUCUAGAAUGACCAAAUUUAUUAAGUUAAAUGAAUGCCCUUUCAGUUCCAGCCAUAAAGUAUCUACAUAUGUGUAGUAGGUAUCUAGAUGUCCUGGAAAGAACGUCAUUGAAGUAAUAUCGGUAUUCUUCUGUCAGACAACUCAUGGCCGUUGAUGCUACUUUUCCGGUUAAAAAGUAUGUCAUCACCAUCGAUAAUACGCUUUUCAAGGUCCAAAAACGUCUUCACUAGAAAGCAGUUCUUUAUACGGGGAGGAUAUUCCCUUCAGAUGAGUUCGAAGUACAUGGAAUUCAAAGGCAUGAUCUAAUCUAUUCCGAUUCAGAUGUUGACUUGUUUUGUUCGAAGUGAUCCUGCCACAACAUGCAGUAUCUGAAGCUUCUAUCAAGUGCAAACUAGAAUUCGGAGCCACUACAGUUAAAAUGUUGAUUUCCGGACAAAUGUAGUUGGUUAGUAAAAUUAUAAAUGUUACACCAAAUCCAAAAUGUAUAUUUUCUAUCAAAAAUCAUCAGUUUGCAUAGUGGUGAAAUUGUGAUUACUAAUGUAAUGGCAAAUUAUUUGAAAAUAUCAAUAUAUCUUUGAAGUAUUUCAUGAUCCCAUUUUAAGGCUAUGACAAUGAAUCUUACAUUUUUGGGGAUAUUUUUUUAAAAUUGGGAAAGCUUGAAGUGCAUGUAAUUAUCAUUCCAAACAAAUGUUUGGCAUAUCAAUCGAUAUUUCAUCUAAAUUGUUUGAAAUUUUCAUAUAUCUACUUAAAACGACUAAAAUAUUGGUUUGCAUUCAUUUUCUUUAAACGUAGUGCUUGCUUUGUACUUUGAGAAACAAGCUAUUCUGAGACAAUCGAUAUCGAUAAACAUGUUUCAUGUAGAUAAAUUAAAAUGUAAUAGAUGAUUUCUAGGAAAAUCAAAUAAGUCAAAUUUCCAACAAAACUAAAAAUUUACUGCCACAGAACGAAUUUUUGAAAUAAAAAUUUGCAUAUGCAUUCCUCCCUUAUUGUCAACGGAUAAUCCAUCUUUAUGUUAUGAGGUGAUUUGUUACGAUUGCUUUUCAUCACCGCUUACUGUAACACAAUUUGAAAAAUUGAAUUUUAUUGUUAUGAAACGAUUCAUUGUAGUUUCUUCACAUCAGCAUAAGGGCUUGUAAUAUACUUCUCAAUUUAUCUACAAUUUUAUAAAAAUGGUAGUCAUUUGUUUUUAUUUUGUACUGAAUGUUAAUGAUCUCGUAACUAAUUUCAUUAUUGUCGAUUUCUAGAAAGUAACUUAAUAUUAUAAUGAUGAUGAUGAAAUAAGUGAUCAAAUAUCUGAAUAUAUUUGCUAUAAUUAUCUGUGUAUAGUUCUAAUAUGAAGGGAUUUUGCAACUCGUAAUUAUCUGAACAUUCUUUUUUGAAAUACUGGUCUUAAUUAGGGAAAAAUGUUUUAUGCUAAUUUUCGGUAGUUGGCCCCGAAAUCUCUGAAAAUAUUUUAAAUAUAUAUUGCUAAGCUGCAACUUGGAGUUUUUGCACAUGAAAUGGUUCUAUGCUUUGAAAAUUAUAUUUUAUGCUUGAAUUUUAAAUUUGUUUGAUGGUUGGAACUGUAAUUUUAAAAUAGUUUUUUUCUUUUUUUUUUGCUCCUCGUUAAGUUUUACAUCCGAAAAUGACAUAAAAUUUAUAGUAUUAAUGAUUCCUAAAUCCAAAUUUAAUAGUACAUGGUAUCGAUACUCAUUAAUUUAAAUUUAAAUUUAACUUUAAUAUUUCUGAAAUUUUACCGU